GAUCAUGCUCAGGAUGAACGCUAGCUACAGGCUUAACACAUGCAAGUCGAGGGGCAGCGGGAUUGAAGCUUGCUUCAAUUGCCGGCGACCGGCGCACGGGUGAGUAACGCGUAUCCAACCUUCCGUACACUCAGGGAUAGCCUUUCGAAAGAAAGAUUAAUACCUGAUGGUAUGAUGAGAUUGCAUGAUAGCAUCAUUAAAGAUUUAUCGGUAUACGAUGGGG
rnacentral:rRNA from 1 species